CUACACCCCUGGGCUGGCCUCAUGAGCACUAUUCUUGAGGGACCUGCCUGCCUGUCUACAAAUCCUUUGUGAGUUCAGAGAGCUUCAAGGAGGGUCAGGGUAUCUGCGUGGCACUGGAUUUUGUCUUUUCUAGUUGUUACAUAAAAGUUUUGUGAAGAGACCAUUUUUCCCUUUUUAAAGAAUGCAUUAAACUUCACACUAACUUGUUAGUGAGAGCCUGAAAUGAUCCCAGGAGACGCAGGAGAGUCUUCCUGCCCCAGCUCACCUUGCCUGUUUUUUCAGGGCUGCUGUAGACAGUUGUCCAGGAGAGGCUGAGGGAGUUCCUGGGGACGGGCUCACACUGCAUAUUUAAAAAGAAAUUCACAAUGAGGUCGAUUCUGCCCUUCAAGAAGUGUCUGAGUGAGAGAAAAGAAUCUGGUUUUCCAAGCAUAUUUGAAAUGGUUGUUUGUUUGCAAUGAUUUGGAGAGAUAUAAUACAGUCCUUCUAGAAACAGAAGUCCUAGUUGUUUCUGCAGAUUGCAUUUCAAGCAACCAAUUCUGGGAGUCACGGGUGUGGGUCGUAUGAUGCUAACUUUAGUUCAGAGCUGGGGUGGAUCAGUGGUUCAGUAUAUUGCCAUUCAUGAUAUUUUAGAAACUUUCCUCUCCCCGUUGAAAAGGAUGGGGGAUGCAGAAGAGUGAAGGGACUUUUGUAAGUGUGUGCUCACACUAGGCUGGGUCUUUUGGUGGCCAAUGAAAUAAGCAUUUACUGAAUUUCUUACCUUUACCGAUACUUUCUUCCAUGUUACAUCGUUUGGUGCGUAUUACAUGUGCAGGACUGAAGGGAGUAAUCAGCUUGAAUCUUGGAGAAAUUCCCAGUUAACAGCAAAAAGCUAUCAACCAAUCCACACUUUUGGUGAAGUACAGGAAAUGGAAAGAAUGGUGGUUAACUUUCUUCCCUCAUGUUUUGGAAUAAACUACGCUCUUAUUCACCUAAUGUAGAAUCAGAUCUUGUGCCCCAAAUCUGCACAUUCACUUUUGAAGCCCUUCUCCUCCGCUCAGUAUCCCUUCCCAUUAUGUUAUUCUUCAGCGUCUAGAACUGAACCAAAACGUGAACCAUUCAGUAAACAGUUAUAGGACACUGAUCCAGUGCAAGGCACUAUGAGGAUUAAAGAGGGCUGCAAAUCCUUUUACGUACCUUCCAUGGAGAAAUGGGAUCUUAGCUCCCAUCCCUUAAACCUGGGCAGGCUUUGGGACUGCUUUGACCAAUAGAAUAUGGCAGAAGCAUUGCCGUGCCAGUGUCAGGGCCCAGACCUCAAGAAAGUGGCAACGUUCACUUCUUAUCUCUUGGAACACCCUCCCUGGGAGCUCUGAGCUGCCAUGUAAGAAGUCCUACUGCUCUAGCACUGCCCUUCUAGAAAGAUUGCAAGUAGAUGCUCUGGUUCACCGUUGCAGCUGAGUCCAGGUUCCAGAUAUGUGAGUGGAGCCAUGUUGAAGACUUCAGACGAGUUCAUUCAACAGCUGAAUACAUCACUAUGUGGAGAGAAGGCUCGCCCAGCUGAGCCCGGCCCCAAAUUCCAAUCCACAAAAUCAUGAGAUAUAGUGAUUGCUGUUUUAAGCCACCUAAUAACCCAAUGUUAGAACAAAUAUUUUGCUAAAAUCUGAACUCUAAUGCUGCUUUGAAAAAUUGAAGUGGCAAAUGAGCUAAGGUGGGUCAAGAGCUGGCACAUAGUAAACCCUUCGCAAAAGGUAGUUUUUGUAAGUGUUACUGUAAUAUCCCAACUAUUUUCCCUGUUCUUAGCUUUUGGCCCUUGGUUCCAUCAUCCACAUCAUUGCCAGAAUCAACUUCCCAAAGCAGAGUCCUAUGUUUCACACGGCAGAUAGAGCUAGUUGUCCCUCCAAAGACAAAGCCUGUCUUCUUCCUCAGUAAGAGAACCUUUGAAGACUACUUGGGUAUAUGGAGGCACAGACUAAAGACUACAUUUCCUAGACCCCUAUGCAGCUGGGUCGGGCCACACAGCUAAAUUUUGGCCAACGAGAGGUAAGCAGAAGUGGUUGUGUAACUUCCAGAAGUGUCUGUCAAGGGAGAGCCAUGCUCCUCUCCUCCUUUGUGUUACCUAGAGUGUAAAUAUGUUGCCUGCAGCCCAUCUGCCAUCUUAGACAAGGCUAGCAAUGGUCACAUUCUUAGUGUAGCAGGGGAUAAAGCUGGAAGGAGUGUGGAAUCCUGACUCAUCUGUGCAACUGCCUUAGCAGCUCUGGAUUUUUUACAUGAGAGAAAAAAGACUUACAGAUUUAAGCUCCUCUUUUUUUUUGGUCAAAUGUAGCUUUACCUAAUUUUUACUAAAACAUCUGCUACAUAUUAGGAGCAGACUAUUAAAAUGAAUAGAAUGAGGCUCCUGCUCUUCUGGAGUUCAGUCUUUGUAUCUUGGGAAGACACAAAUGAAUAGAAUAAUAAAAGGAACAAAUGAAUGGAACAAAUAUUAUUUCUCAUUUUCUGUGUACCAGGGACAUCCUUUCAUUCAUCGUCUCACCUUGUCUUCACAAUGAUCCUGUGAAAUAAUGAUUGUUGAAUCCAUUUUAGAGAAGAGGAAAAAGAGUCAGAAAGUUUAGGUCUUUUGCUGAGGGUCAUGCUAGUAAGAGGUGAACCCCAAAUCUACACCUUUCUCUUCUGGCUCCUGUCCUUCACUAUUUCUGCCACAUCAUGUUGCAAUAAGGAGGACAUUAUUGAGGCUCAAUCAUUGAGAUGAGUUUUACACUGGACUUUGAAAAAUUGGUAGAUAUUUGAAAGACACAGAUGGGGGAAGAGAAUUCCAGAAGGAAGGGACAGCACAGGCAGAAGUGUUACGGCACAGACAUGGCUUGUUGGGGACAUGGCAAGUCUUAUGGGGCUGCUGGAAAACUGGGUGGGGUCUGAUUAUCAAGGACUCUGAACUUGGACUUUCUCUGCCUUUGUACCAUGUUUUCCUACUUUCUCAUAUUGUUGCAUGCUCUUCCCUCUGUGAACUUGGUUUUUCUCCAAUGUAAAGUGAAGGUUGUGUAACUCUCUUUAUCAGUCAGGGCACUUCUUGCUAGCUCCCAUAACAAACACACCCCAAAUCCUGAUUGCUUGACGCGAUAAAGGUUUAUUUCCUGCUCUUGCAAAGCCUGAAGCACUUGUUGGGGAAGGAAGGGUGUGUGUGUAGUGAGGAGCGGAAUUCUACUAUCAGCAGUGACUCAGGUUUCCUUGAGUACAUUUCCUUUGUGGGGUCAAAAUAUUCUGAGGCCUCCCUGGAGUUCUCUGCUGGAUGCUUUGCAUUCAGCAGGCUGGUGAGUAAUGAAAAAGUGUGGAGGAUUACACGGCAUUUGGUGACUAGGCCUGAAAGUGUCAUCCUUCACUUCUGUCCACAGCCCAUUGACCAGUCCAAGAAACACGGUUCCAACCCAACUGCAAGGGCAAAAAAGGGAUUGGGGGCCUCUCGCCAGUCUCAGCCAUGCUGCUCAAACUUCUUCGUGGAGGCGAGGAAACAACAUGGCUCGGAUGGAUGUGCUGGAGGAAAUGCACCAGGAAAUCCCGAGCAGGGUGCAAUCAGUCAGCAUUAAUGCCCACAAGUAUCAAAGCUACUUGAAGAAAUACAGCUACUUAUGGAUGGGCGAUAAAAUUGAAUUCAUGAAGCAGCUCCUUCUCCAUGGGCAAUUUCUUGGUGCUGAAGAACUAGAAUUGCAUGCAGACUAAGAGUGUCAGAACUCCACACUGCUGUCAGCACACUUUGAAGAACCGGCAUUGAAUUUUAGCCGAGUCUAGCAUUAUCUUUUUCAAUUCCGAGGACAGCUAUUAAAUCAUAAAAUAUUUUGUGAUAUAAAGCUCUUGCUUCUGAGAGAUCUUUCCUUUCUUCCCUUUAAGAUCAACAUCUAUGAAAUAUUAUGUGAAUGAGUUGACAGCUUUAAAAAUCAGAGGAUAUUUAGUGGCUAGCUUCAAGUUGAUAGUAAACCUUUUAAAAACCAAUGAUGAAUGUUAUAAAAAAUUGGGUUUGAUGUUUAAGAAGCAUCUGCUUAACCAUGUAACCUGCAGGGAAAGUAAUUUGAAUCUGGUUGAUUGUGAAAGGAAAUUAAAAUAACACAAAUCAUUUGAUGAAACCAUCCUCAUAGAAUUCUAAUUUAACUCAAAUAAUAAGUAUUUUAAUGGUUCUCCCGUGUGCUUAUUUUUAGUCUCGUAUUCUGUAAGUUACAAGAGAGUUGCUUUCAUGCAUGUGAAAUGCAAUUCUCUUCCUGUAAAAACUUGACACAAUGCUUAUCCAUCUGAUUUGAUUGCAUUUGUGUGUUCAUUAAUGUAAUUGAAACAUGUAGUUUCCCCCAAGUUUUCACAGGCUCAUCCCUAAUUAACUGUUGGCAUUUCCUCACAUUACAUGUUAGUAUAACUGAGUUCGGCCAAUUUAUUGGUGAAAUAGGAAAAAGUUGAGCAGAGGAAGGGAAGCAAAGGUUCAGCUAUUCAGUACUGAUUGGGGGCCGAGGGAGAAGGCUAUGGGCAGCCUUUGAAAUCUCUACUAUUUUAGCUGCUGAAUUCAAGCUUCCAGAAGAGAUUUAUACAGAAUCAAGUGAUAUGGACUCAAGAAACAGGGUUACCUCCCAGAGAUCAUAGAUAUGGCUCUUCACCAACUUGGCCCCAAACUGCAAAUCAAAGGAGAUUUUUGGUCUCCUAAGUCUAAGAAUGUUUUGUGUAUUUCCUGAGUAUUUUUAAAGAUCGGUAGUGGCGAUGAAGAAGAAAGAUCUAUGAACUUGGAAGGAGAAAACAGAGGUUCUAAUUCUUGCUUGGCCACUUCUGAGUGCUGUGAUCUUACAGGAGU